rnacentral:lncRNA from 1 species
UGAAGAGGCCCAGGGAGAGAUGACAAAGAGAAAUAUAUGGGGAUAGUUAAAAGAAAAUGAGGUGUGGUGAUACAGAUGCAGAAUCUCAGCACUUGGGAGGCAGAAGCAAGUGAUUCUUAUCUCAAGAUCAGCAUGGGCUACAGAAGUGAGAGAGGCUCAGUCUCAGAAGCCAGAUCUGUUGGUGAAGACUUGUAGUCCCAGAUAUUUGGAAGGCUGAGGCACCAUCACAGUUCCUUUCAGUCAUGGUGCUUUAUCGCAGCAAUAGAGACCCUAAAACAAUAUCUGGAUCUGACAGAAGAACUUGGGAGUAUCAACCAAGAGGCCCCAAGAGACACGGUGUGAGGCUAAAAAAGUGGAUCCUGAGUGGCUGUGGCACCCUGGGGAUGCUGACGGUGCACAGGACGCAGGGAGGAAAGCUGCAGCAGGGAACAGAACGAGGAACAAGACUACCAAACUCUUGGAGUCCAUAUGAGGCUGCCACAGCUCUAGACCAGUGGUUCUCAGCCUUCCUAAUGCAGUGACCCUUUAACGCCGUUCCUCACGUUGUAGUGACCCACCCCAGUCAUAAAAUUACUUCAUCGCUACUUCAUAACUAUAUAAUUUUACUGUACGAAUCAUAAUGUAAAUCUCUGAUGUGUAAGCCCUGGGUGGGUCACAACCCACGGGUUGAGAAUCACUGCUGCAGAUGCUGACCAUGGGGCUUCAGGAUUUACUGGGUUUCCUGAUGGGUUCUGGUGUUGUUUUGGUUCAGUCUCCUCUCACUAAUGGCCUCGUUUCCCUACCCUAAAUGGCGAAUGUCUAAUAUAUGCCUUGUAUAUUAAAAGUAUAGAACUUGAGUUUUUAAAAAAAAAAAAAACAUUUUUGGCAUGCAUCUGUGUGUGUGCUGUGCAUGUAUGUGUAUGCAUGUUUUCAUCUAUGUGUAUACAUGAGUGUGGAAACUGGGAGUUCUUUUCAACCACAGGCCACUUUAUUCAUUGCCGCAGGCUCUCUCAGUUUACCCUAGAGCUAGUGGGUCAGUCUGGCUAGCCAGCUUGCUCUGUGGUCCUCAUCUCCACCUUCUGAGCACUGAGUUACACAUGGGCCCCCACAUCCACCAAGCACCUAUGUGGGUCCCGGAAGGUCCAGAUAUUAAAGACCACACACACACACACCCCAGCUCCAGCUUUUUAAAUUUUUAUUUUAUAGGUGCUUACGUUAAAUCUGAAUCUCAGCCACUGCAGUGCACACCUUUAAUCCCAG